AGGACGAACGCUGGCGGCGUGCUUAACACAUGCAAGUCGAGCGGAAAGGCCCUUCGGGGUACUCGAGCGGCGAACGGGUGAGUAACACGUGAGCAACCUGCCCUUAGCUUCGGGAUAGCUCCGGGAAACCGGAAUUAAAUACCGAAUAUGACUUUGGCUGACAUCAGCAGAAGUGGAAAGUUUUUCGGCUAAGGAUGAGCUCGCGGCCUAUCAGCUUGUUGGUGGGGUAACGGCCUACCAAGGCGACGACGGGUA
rnacentral:rRNA from 1 species